rnacentral:rRNA from 1 species
UGGGGAAUAUUGGACAAUGGGCGCAAGCCUGAUCCAGCCAUGCCGCGUGAGUGAUGAAGGUCACAGGGCUGUAAAGCUCUUUCAUCGGUGAAGAUAAUGACGGUAACCGGAGAAGAAGCCCCGGCUAACUUCGUGCCAGCAGCCGCGGUAAUACGAAGGGGGCUAGCGUUGUUCGGAUUUACUGGGCGUAAAGCGCACGUAGGCGGACUAUUAAGUCAGGGGUGAAAUCCCGGGGCUCAACCCCGGAACUGCCUUUGAUACUGGUAUUCUUGAGUUCGAGAGAGGUAAGUGGGAUUCCGAGUGUAGAGGUGAAAUUCGUAAAUGUUCGGAGGAACACCAGGGGCGAAGGCGGCUCACUGGCUCGAUACUGACGCUAAGGUGCGAAAACGUGGUGAGCAAACAGG